rnacentral:rRNA from 1 species
GACGAACGCUGGCGGCGUGCUUAACACAUGCAAGUCGAACGGAAAAGCCCUGCUUUUGUGGGGUGCUCGAAUGGCGAACGGGUGAGUAACACGAGAGUAACCUACCCCUGAAUCAGGGAUCCUCUCAGAAAACUGGGGCUACUACAGACUAGGAGCUCCUGCUGCAUGGAGGGGGAUGGAAAGUUUCGGUGGGUGGGGAUGGACUCGCGGCUUAUCUGCUUGUUGGUGGGGUUGUGGCUUACCAAGGCUUUGAGGGGUAGCCUGCCUGGGAGGGUGACCGGCCACGUUGGGACUGAGAUACGGCCCAGACUCCAACGGGAGGGAGCAGAGGGGAAUAGAGCACAAUGGGCGGAAGCCUGAUGCAGCAACGCCGCGUGCGGGGUGACGGCCUUCGAGUUGUAAACCGCUUUCGCCUGUGACGAAGCGUAAGUGACGGUAAUGGGUAAAGAAGCACCGGCUAACUACGUG